GACGAACGCUGGCGGCGUGCUUAACACAUGCAAGUCGAACGGUGAAGCGCCUUCCUUUUUGGUGGGUGUGGAUGAGUGGCGAACGGGUGAGUAACACGUGAGUAACCUGCCCCUUCUUCUGGAUAACCGCAUGAAAGUGUGGCUAAUACGGGAUAUUCUGGGUCUGUCGCAUGAUGGGUCUGGGAAAGAUAUUGUUUCGGUGGGGGAUGGGCUCGCGGCCUAUCAGCUUGUUGGUGGGGUGAUGGCCUACCAAGGCGGUGACGGGUAGCCGGCCUGAGAGGGUGGACGGUCACACUGGGACUGAGACACGGCCCAGACUCCUACGGGAGGCAGCAGUGGGGAAUAUUGCACAAUGGGCGCAAGCCUGAUGCAGCGACGCCGCGUGAGGGAUGGAGGCCUUCGGGUUGUGAACCUCUUUCGCCAGUGAAGCAGGCCUGCCUCGUUUGUGGGUGGGUUGACGGUAGCUGGAUAAGAAGCGCCGGCUAACUACGUG
rnacentral:rRNA from 1 species